ACAGUAUCAGACCCCGUGUGGGCCUUGUCACCACCACGGUGCUGAAGCUACUAGCUAAGCCUACCAGAAGCCAAGGCUGCUCCCUUCCCUGUGCCACCCGAGGACCCAUGAGCUACCAGACAGGGUCUCACCCUGCGAGCCAAGCUGACCCAGACUGCCUUUGAACGUCAUCAACCCUGCUCACACCUCCAGUGUGUAGGGUCCCAGUUGUGAGCCUUCAUACCCGGCUUCUAUCUACUUACUAUGUUGUUAUCUGUUCAGCGCCCUAAACAGAGUGGACUCUACACGAGAAUAGAGACUUCUGGCUUUGUUCAGUCAGCAUCUCCAGCAUAAAGAAUCUUAUGAGAGGCUGUAGAGAUGACUCAGUGGUGAAGAGCCCUGGUUGCUUUUUCAGAAGACCCAGGUUCGGUUCCCAGCACCCACAUCAGGCAGAUUCCCCAGAAGCUGACAUUUUCUUCUGGUCUACACAGACACCUGCAUGUGCCCAUGUACAUGUAAUUAAAAGUAAAUUUUUAAAAAAGAACGCAAUUAAUUUUAAUAGGCCUCUGUUUUCAGCUAGGCCCUGUAUAAGUAUAUAGACAAGGCUUUACCGCUGCGUCAAAGUCCCGGCCCAGCACGUGUCUUAACCAAUGAAUGCCUGUAUACAGAUGGCUGUGUGGCUCAUAGCAUAUACUGCCUAUUUCUGUCAGCUCCAUGCAAGGAAGGGAAGUUCUGUGUGUGUCUUCCUAAGAACCCACCUUUGAGAUCCAGGCUUCCCAGACGGGGAUGGAUGAUGCCUUCGGUGUCUGUGAUCUGGUUGUAGGAGAAACUGGCGAUCUGCAGGUAGGGCAGUUCGUUCAGCCGGGCGCUCCGGAGCUGAUUGCCGUCUGCCUUGAGCCACAGUAGGUGAGUGAGACUGUUGAGUGGUGACAUGUCUGUGAUAUGGUUCUCAGAAAUAUCCACGUAGCGGAGGUGGAUGUAGGAGCGCAGUAAGGAGAUGUCUGUGAGGUCCCUAGGAGAUUGGGGGGCCAGGAGAAGAUCCACCAUAAAGGAUAAGAACAUUUGUGCUAGGCCUACUAGUUCAGACCUACAGACCCAGCUACUACUACCUAGGACCCUGAAGCAGCAGAAUAACAAGGCUGUGGCCUUCCUGGGCUAAAACUGAGUGAGUUCAAAUGCAGCAAGAACAGAGAUGUUCGGACAGAGAGCAACGCAGAGAUAGCUUGUACUGGAUGACGGAGAGGGAAGGGAAAGAAGAGGCAAGUGGGGUUUUUCUUCUUGUUUUUCAGUGCAGAGAUCAAAACUAGUACCUUGCCUCCUAACCACUAAGCUACAUCUCUGAGACUCCACUAUGAAAGGAUGCCAGAGCUUCCCACGGAAGUUUUUUUUUUUUUUCCAGAGCUGGGGACCGAACCCAGGGCCUUGCGCUUGCUAGGCAAGCGCUCUACCACUGAGCUAAAUCCCCAACCCCCCACGGAAGCUUUAAUGUGUUGUCUUGGCGCUGGGGGGUGAACCCGGAGCCUUGUGUAUUCUAGGCAAGCUCUCUACUGCUAAGUCACCCUCCCAGUCACCAAAGAGUCCCGGAAGUUCUGAAAAGCAAAUCCCCACCAUUUCUUCCCAUCAGCUUGGGACCAGAGAGAGAGCUCUAGCCAAAACACUCAGGAGAGAGAGAGGGAAGGCACGUGAUGCUCCCGUCUCUCAGUCCUCACCUGUCCUUAACCUCCAGCUUAAUAUAAGCGUGAGCCAGUCCACUGCCAAUCUUGCAGAGUAAUGAAAGCCCUUCCUUCAUCAUGGCCUCCGUGAGGGGGGUGGGCAGCCACUGCAAGAGGUGGGUAAUUCAGGCAUCCCUUUGCAGUCCCCCUCUAGUCCUGAGCCCGGGGAGCCCUGGUCCCGGCUCUCACUUCCUCAGAGACUUCUUCCCCCUCCUUCCUGUAGUCGUCUUCCCAGUCCUCCAUCUCAUUGUCAUCCUCUUCUUUUUCCACUUCAUCCGGCUCCUGAUCAAAGUCAUCUUCCACAUCAUCUUCAUCCGACAUCUUUCUCUCCCCUGCGCUCCGGAGUCAGACGAAACUCAGUCCUGGUCCUAAGAAAGGAGGUCUUAGCUCCCACGCCCACCAGCCCUCCAGUCCCUCACAUCCACUUACGGGUACCCUACACAUACAGCCUCUGUCACCUCUGAACUCCCAACUGCAUAUCUUUCCUCAUGUUGGAGAGCGUCUUUGGACUCCCAGUCUCUGCUUGGAGCCCCCCGCCCCUCCCCCCGCUCCCGGCUCCCUUCGGGACACUUUCCCACACUCCCAAACUGUUCCUGCCUUUCCUUGCCUCCAACUCUGCCCCAGCAGCCCAGCGUCCUCCUUCCUGAAUUCCCUUUAAUCCAGUUCUACAUGUCCUCCUAAAAUCUCCCCUACCAACUCCUUCUCCCCUUCCUUACCCACACCUCACUUCCAGGUUCUCUUCCACCCCCAACCCCUAUUCUUCUAAUGCGAUCUCCCUGCUUAACACCACCAUUUCCCUGACACGAUAACGUCUUCAACCCUCCAACCCAGUUCGCCUUCAGAAGUGGGAGCAGACCCUGACUCUGCUCCUCUAGAAGUAGUUAUGAAGAAGAUCUUUGUGCUGAGAGGCCAGGACUGUUUUUUUCGGAAGACGCAACGGGGUAGCAGGAGUUAUAUACUGUUGUUAUGGCAACGGGGGCGGGAUGCUUAGCUUUGCAGCCAGCUUCCGUUGAGAGCCUGGAGCACCUCAACCGCAAAGCACAAACCCUAACGCCCCUAUUUCCACCCUCAGCGGGUAGUGCAGUGGUUGCCAGGUUACGAGGCCAAAUUCCUAAUCCCAGGAACCUGGAGGAGGCGAGAAGAGAGUGUCACGGACUUAAUUGUCGGGGGACAUAAAACAAUGGUCUAAUUAUAACAGCAGCGCUGAGAAGCGGGAGGGAGGCUGGGCUGGCCUUUAAGUCCUUAAAGCAACUAGAUGUCUGGAUGCAAAGGAAUUGUAGACCAUCCCUAAGAAGCAAAAGGGGGAUGGAUGAGAGGAAAGACACUAAGAGAAGCAAGAAAUACUACGUUAUGGGAUUUGUUGCUGGUCGGGUUUGGCUCAUUAUUUAUUGGAAGGUCUUGGAAGGUGGACUGGUGGAGCAAACUGCUUUAAGACCCAGCUUGUGACCCCGGCGACUCCCUCUUGCAGGUGAUGGAGAGAUGGCUCAGCGAUUAAGAGCACUGGCUGUUCUUCUAAAAGAUCUAGCUCCAUUCCCAGCACCCACAUACCAUCUGUAACUCCUGCUCUAGAGAGAUCUGACGCCCUCUUCUGACCUCUACUUGCACAGAACAGGCACAUGGUGCAUGAAUGUAUGUAUGCAGGCAAACGAGCAUACAUAUAAAAUAAAUUAUUAAUAAAUUAAUAAAUCUAAAACAAUAAA